UUUUGGACAAUGGACGCAAGUCUGAUCCAGCCAUUCCGCGUGCAGGACGAAGGCCUUCGGGUUGUAAACUGCUUUUGUACGGAACGAAAAAGCUCUUAUUAAUACUAGGAGUCCAUGACGGUACCGUAAGAAUAAGCACCGGCUAACUACGUGCCAGCAGCCGCGGUAAUACGUAGGGUGCAAGCGUUAAUCGGAAUUACUGGGCGUAAAGCGUGCGCAGGCGGUUAUAUAAGACAGAUGUGGAAUCCCCGAGCUUAACUUGGGAACUGCAUUUGUGACUGUAUAGCUAGAGUACGGCAGAGGGGGAUGGAAUUCCGCGUGUAGCAGUGAAAUGCGUAGAUAUGCGGAGGAACACCGAUGGCGAAGGCAAUCCCCUGGGCCUGUACUGACGCUCAUGCACGAA
rnacentral:rRNA from 1 species